rnacentral:rRNA from 1 species
GAUGAACGCUGGCGGCGUGCCUAAUACAUGCAAGUCGAGCGAACGGACGAGAAGCUUGCUUCUCUGAUGUUAGCGGCGGACGUGUGAGUAACACGUGGAUAACCUACCUAUAAGACUGGGAUAACUUCGGGAAACCGGAGCUAAUACCGGAUGAUAUUUUGAACCGUAUGGUUCAAAAGUGAAAGACGGUCUUGCUGUCACUUAUAGAUGGAUCCGCGCUGCAUUAGCUAGUUGGUAAGGUAACGGCUUACCAAGGCAACGAUGCAUAGCCGACCUGAGAGGGUGAUCGGCCACACUGGAACUGAGACACGGUCCAGACUCCUACGGGAGGCAGCAGUAGGGAAUCUUCCGCAAUGGGCGAAAGCCUGACGGAGCAACGCCGCGUGAGUGAUGAAGGUCUUCGGAUCGUAAAACUCUGUUAUUAGGGAAGAACAUAUGUGUAAGUAACUGUGCACAUCUUGGCGGUACCUAAUCAGAAAGCCACGGCUAACUACGUG